rnacentral:tRNA from 1 species
GCGCGAUUAGCUCAGCGGUAGAGCAACUCGUUUACACCGAGUGGGUCGGCGGUUCAAUCCCGUCAUCGCGCACCA